rnacentral:rRNA from 1 species
UACGUAGGGUGCAAGCGUUGUCCGGAAUUAUUGGGCGUAAAGAGCUCGUAGGCGGUCUGUCGCGUCGAAUGUGAAAACACGAGGCUCAACUUCGUGCCUGCAUUCGAUACGGGCAGACUAGAGUUCGGUAGGGGAGUCUGGAAUUCCUGGUGUAGCGGUGAAAUGCGCAGAUAUCAGGAGGAACACCGGUGGCGAAGGCGGGACUCUGGGCCGAUACUGACGCUGAGGAGCGAAAGCGUGGGGAGCAAACAGG